ACCCACUGAGCCACCCAGGCGCCCCUCUCAGUCUAAUUUUAAUAUAAAAUAAGUUAUAAAGCUGGCUAUGCAUUUGCUGCAAGCAGAGGGCUCCCCAAUUUCCUUUCAUAGUAAUACAUUAAGCACUGGUUUGGUUCCCUACUUUUAUAUUGUUCGGUGAUCUCUGCCUACUAUUUUGGCUCUUUCAAUGAAAACAAGUUAAAAUCUUCAUAAAGUGUGAGGGAUGUGUAUAGCUGUAACAGAGUGUGGG